rnacentral:tRNA from 1 species
GGAAGCGGGAGCUUGUUUGGUUCCAUGUCUGCUUCAUCAAAGUAGUCCUUGUGGUUUCAGGCACACUUCC